CAGGAGCCUCCUGUGUGCAAUUAAAGUUCAAUGUAAAGAGCAGGAGAUAAAAACUUUCAAAAAAGUAAGUUACACCUAUAAGAGAUCAGAGAUCUCCUUCACCAGUCCGCAGGCACUUUGCUGGCAGCCGGCACAGAGGGAAAGAGAACCCGAGAACUCAGCCUGCAGCUCCUCCGGGUACUCCUCUCGCGAGCACAGAGGAUUGUCGCGGUUCCCGUGGCAACGCUCCGGAUCUCGCGAGAGCGAAAUCUAGCCCCGAAGGCUAGAGUUCACUCUAACCACUGGGACCACCAGGGAUUCUCCACCGGACCACCAGGGAUUGAGAAAAAUCCCUCCUCCCCGUCAAAG